GAUGAACGCUGGCGGCAUGCCUAAUACAUGCAAGUCGAGCGAAGCGGGGGCGGGUGAGUAACACGUGGGUGACCUCCUAUAAGACUGGGGUAACUUCGGGAAACCGGAGCUAAACCGGAAAAUUAUCGAUGGAUCUGCUCUGCAUUAGCUGGUUGGUAAGGUAACGGCUUACCAGGGCAACGAUGCAUAGCCGACCUGAGAGGGGGACCGGCCACACUGGAACUGAGACACGGUCCAGACUCCUACGGGAGGCAGCAGUAGGGAAUCUUGCGCAAUGGGCGAAAGCCUGACGGAGCCACGCCGCGUGAGUGAUGAAGGUCUUCGGAUCGUAAAACUCUGUUAGUAGGGAAGCGUUACCCACUCAGAAAGCACCGGCUAACUACGUGCCAGCAGCCGCGGUAAUAC
rnacentral:rRNA from 1 species